rnacentral:rRNA from 1 species
CCUACGGGUGGCAGCAGUGGGGGAUAUUGCACAAUGGGGGAAACCCUGAUGCAGCGACGCCGCGUGAGUGAAGAAGUAUUUCGGUAUGUAAAGCUCUAUCAGCAGGGAAGAAAAAAGACGGUACCUGACUAAGAAGCCCCGGCUAACUACGUGCCAGCAGCCGCGGUAAUACGUAGGGGGCAAGCGUUAUCCGGAUUUACUGGGUGUAAAGGGAGCGUAGACGGCAAUACAAGUCGGAAGUGAAAUACCCGGGCUCAACCUGGGAACUGCUUUGGAAACUGUAUGGCUAGAGUGCUGGAGAGGUAAGCGGAAUUCCAGGUGUAGGAGUGAAAUCCGUAGAUAUCUGGAGGAACAUCAGUGGCGAAGGCGACUAUCUGGCACAUAACUGACGCUGAGGAGCGAAAGCGUGGGUAGCAAACAGGAUUAGAUACCCCAGUAGUC